AAUGAUAUACAGGAUCAAACUCCAGAGUUCAGCACUGGCCACAGAGGAUUGUGAGGAUUGUGGCUUUGGCUGGAGGCAUCAUUAGUCUUGACAAGUCCCUGGAAAAAUGAGAGUUCUAGUUGUGCCGGCUGCCUACUGGUUAAUUCAUAAACAGAGAAACUCAUCCGGCAUACGGGAAGUGAAGAAGGGCGCUAGAGAAUGGCAGGAGGUAGAGUCAAAGCCAAAAAGAAAAAAAGCAGCACUAAGGGAACCACACUGCCCUUCAACUCUUCAAUGAUGCGUUUGAGAGCUUCUGUAUCACAUCUGCUAGAGAUGACCUUGUGUACACCACAUGUUCUCACACAGCCUCAGAAUGGAGUGAAGGAGUUUACCUGUAGCCCUGGACUUGUCUGGAUAACACCAGCUCAUAUCUCCAAUUGUUAUUGUUAUUUUUUUUCUUUAUUCUGAGUGAGCAAAUAAGACUGCUAGCUGAAAGUGCUAGCUUUAAUGAAUGUGUACAGUGUAAACAUUGGAUAGCAGUGAGUAGAAUAAACCUACGAGGCCCUGAAGGUUUAAACUGGAUGUGCCUGAACAAAAGCUUGGAAAAGUAGUUUAA